UUCCGGUUGAUCCUGCCGGACCCGACUGCUAUUUGGGUGAGGAUAAGCCAUGCGAGUUGAAUGGGAAACCUAAAGUUCCCAUGGCAAACUGCUCAGUAACACAUGAUCAACUUACCCUAUAGAGAAAAAUAACCUCGGGAAACUGAGGAUAAUGUUUCAUAGUUGAAUUGGCUUGGAAAAGUUUUUCGACGAAAGGGGUAAAAAAAAUGGUUUUUAUCUGCUAUAGGAUAGGAUCGUGUUCGAUUAUGGUUGUUGGUGAGGCAAUGGCUCACCAAGCCGAUAAUCGAUAGGGGCCGUGAGAGCGGGAGCCCCGAGAUGGGUACUGAGACAACGACCCAGGCCUUACGAGGCGCAGCAGGCGCGAAACCUCCGCAAUACACGAAAGUGUGACGGGGUUACCCAAAGUGUUCAAUUUUGAACUGUGGUAGGUGAGUAAUGUUCCCUACUAGAAAGGAGAGGGCAAGGCUGGUGCCAGCCGCCGCGGUAAAACCAGCUCUUCAAGUGGUCGGGAUAAUUAUUGGGCUUAAAGUGUCCGUAGCCGGUUUGGUAAGUUCCUGGUAAAAUCGGGUAGCUUAACUAUCUAUAUGCUAGGAAUACUACUAUACUAGAGGGCGGGAGAGGUCUGAGGUACCACAGGGGUAGGGGUGAAAUCUUAUAAUCCUUGUUGGACCACCAGUGGCGAAGGCGUCAGACUGGAACGCGCCUGACGGUGAGGGACGAAAGCCGGGGGAGCGAACCGGAUUAGAUACCCGGGUAGUCCUGGCCGUAAACGAUGCAUAAUAGGUGAUGGCACGGCCAUGAGCCGUGUCAGUGCCGUAAGGGAAACCGUUAAGUGUGCCGCCUGGGAAGUACGGUCGCAAGGCUAAAACUUAAAGGAAUUGGCGGGGGAGCACCACAAGGGGUGAAGCCUGCGGUUCAAUUGGAAUCAACGCCGG
rnacentral:rRNA from 1 species